UCUGCCCCACUGAGUGCAGCAUUGUUUACAUAGUGCCCAGUUAAACUUUGGAAUUCACGGCAACUAGAUUUAGCAAUGGUUAUCAAGUUUAUCCACCUUUAAAAGGGGAUAACAGAAACUCAUGGAGGACAAGGCCCCAGUGGUUUUAUACGGCAUGUCUUCAGAUACCAGUCAGCAGAGAAUAACACCAGAAAGGGGCUAUUGUAUUCAUGACCUCCUUAUGGACUUCCCAUAGGCAUUUGGUUGGUCACUGUAGGAAGUAGGAUGCUGGACUCAUUGGAUUGUAGCACUAAACAGAUUGUUCCAUUAGCACAAGGAUUUCUCCUUGCUCUAUAGAUUAUUUUCCCCCUCCCCUACUUCUGUGCACCCACUGAAUCUAUUUUGUGGGUUCCCUCAACCCUCCAGAGCAGAUUUGGGGGUGGCAUGAGGGGAGAGGGGAGAAGUCCUGUUGUGCUAGUAGUAAUACUAGUAUGCAUGAAACUGUUUUCUUGAAUACUGCCCAUUACCUUAGGCCUGAUCCAACAGGGCUUUUCUGAUGUUCUUAAAAUCCCUUGGGUCAGAAUGUAACAGGUGAGCAAAGGAUAAUUAAUGGGUGAUGAACUCCUGUAUCUAAUGAUCUGGAGUUAAUUUUCUAAGAAAGUUAAAAAGAAGAAAUGGAAUAAUAUUGUUUCACACCCUGAUGUUAUCAACCCAGCUUGAUACUACUAUCAAGUUCUGUAUUGUCAAAAUAUUAUGGAGUUUCCCCGCUGCCUGUUUAUAUAAGAAAUGCUAAUGAUUCUGGAUGUUUAAAUCACACAUAUUGAUUAUAAAACAACUUGUAUUGUGAGAUUACUGCUAUCUCGCAGCAUUUUGUUGUCCUGCUGCUGUUUCUUUGUUUAAUGGAGGAGGAAAUGCAAAUACUAAAUGUGCAUUUGUCAGCUUCAGCUUUUUUUACUCAUUUGUUGGAAUAGCACACAUAUUGUAUAAAUAUGUAUUUCAUCACUAAGGUAAACUUUACUUUUUUACCCUACUGAAACUCUAUUUUAUCUUUUUUCUUCCCUCCUAAUUUCUCAGAUGUUUCACAUUCCCUAACAACAACUUUAAACUUUGCCCCAAAAUUCCAGUUAGACAAAAAUGUGCAUAUAUUCUUCAUAUUUUCUAUAUUUCCAUAUUUCUGCAAUAAGAAACUCAAAAAUAUAUUCCUCCCAUGCCAUUACAGGUGAGGAGAAGAACUCUUACGUGGAAAUGAACAUCAGCAUGUUUUUUACCCCACAAUUUACCUCAUUGUCUGAUACUUGCAGCAGCCGCUCAUUUUGCCACAUUACUUGCUAACCAGAACCUGCAAUUCCUUGGAGCUCUUCAUAGCCUGAUGCAUUUUGAAAUGGAUUAGUGGAAUUUACAGCAGUACAGAUUUGAGCAGAAAGGAAUCUGUGAGGAGCUGCUUUACACUCUACCCCCAAAGCUCUUGAUCCCUUUGCAUUAUACAUGUACAGAAAAUCCUGAAAGCAGUGUAUCAACAAUAUCAGCAAGAGGUUUAGGAAUGUUGCAUGUACCAGUUAUGUUUCAAAGACUAAUCCUGAACCAUCACAGGCACAUUUCCGUGUGAAUAUGCUUCAUUUUGCUUCUGCAGAGAGGGAAAUGUGAAAAUGAGACCUGUGCUCUGCACUUGAAUAUACAUGGCACAACAAAUAGCAAGGAACACAGUCCUUUGAAUAGUAAUGCACAUAGGUUGUGCUGGUAAGAGAUAGUAAAAAAUGUUUUAAUAAUGUACCUGUAUAAAAUAAAAAAAAACCC